rnacentral:rRNA from 1 species
UUUCACUGAAACAAGGGGAAGGCUCAAAUGGGGCAUCCGCCCCCGAGGCAGCAGUAAAGAAUUUUGUGCAAUAUACGAAGGUAAGACACAGAGAGGGCACCUUACCUAGCCCGUCAAAUUAAGUGCCAGCAGACGCGGUGAAACUUAAGGGCUAGUUUUAUAGACAAAAGCGUAAGGGGUGUGAUCGGCCGUUUUAAUUAAAAGGGGUCUUAUAAUUUAAGAAGGUAAAUGGAAUUUUUUUGUAACGGUGGAAUGUGUAAAUAAAAAAAAGAACUUUAGACGUGAAGGCUAUUUAUUUCUGAUAUUAUAAUGUGAUGGCUAAAACACGAGAGUAUGGGGAGCAAACAGGAUUAGAGACCCUGGUAGUCCAUACUGUAAAUAAUGAAGAGAAUGUGAAGCAAUCCUAAAAAGCAAGAACUUUUCCGCUUGAGUAGUACGAUCGCAAGGUUAAAAUUCAAAAAACUUGGCUGUUCACUGUUUUAAUUAGAGGAGCGUGUCGUUUAAUUCGAUAGUCCGCGAGAGACCUCACCCAAACUUGAAUCCCUCAUUGACAGGUAUUGCAUGGCCGUCGUCAAUUUGUGUAUUAAACAUAAAACAGAUUCAACCCAGUGAUUUGUCUAUUGGAUGAAGUCAGGUCUUAUUGUCCUAACGUUUGGGGAUUAGAUGCGCUACAUUUUUUUAUACAAUGGGAAACUUUGAAUGUGAAACCCUAAAAUAAGAGUUCGGAAGGUGCCUGGAAGAUAACAGAAAGUUGGAUUUAAUAGUAAUUGAAAAGUAGAGCGUUUCAAUGAACUUUUUUCGGUGUUAGUACAAAUAGCCCGUCGCCUUUGCUUAGAAAGAUCAUUUGAUUGCUCUUCAAAGGGGUUUCUAAGAUCUCCGAGGUAGAGUAAGUCGUAACA